rnacentral:rRNA from 1 species
CCAGACUCCUACGGGAGGCAGCAGUGAGGAAUAUUGGUCAAUGGGCGGAAGCCUGAACCAGCCAAGUCGCGUGAGGGAAGAAGGCCCUGCGGGUCGCAGACCUCUUUGGACGGGGAGCAAGGCCGCCGACGUGUCGGCGGAAGGAGAGUACCCGUAGAACAAGCAUCGGCUAACUCCGUGCCAGCAGCCGCGGUAAUACGGAGGAUGCGAGCGUUAUCCGGAUUUAUUGGGUUUAAAGGGUGCGCAGGCGGUCUGUUAAGUCAGCGGUCAAAGCCCGGGGCUCAACCCCGGUCCGCCGUUGAAACUGGCAGUCUCGAGUUGGAGAGAGGUAUGCGGAAUGCGCGGUGUAGCGGUGAAAUGCAUAGAUAUCGCGCAGAACUCCGAUUGCGAAGGCAGCAUACCGGCGCGCAACUGACGCUCAUGCACGAAAGCGUGGGUAUCGAACAGGAUUAGAUACCCCAGUAUCA